CCUUACUGCACCUUCUCCCCCACUGCACAAUCAGACUCGCACCAAAGCAGUCGCAACACAAUAAUUUCUCUCUCCGGCUAGGAUGAGAUUUGGUGCGAGAAAAUUCCAAAAAAACUAUUUCAUAUUAGACCCGAACUACGGGCCGCACGAGCCAUGGUGCCAUGGUCAACUGCGCGUGAAGAUUCCAAAAUGCAGAUUUUGGGAGUUGCUCUUCACUAAAAAAUUUUCCUUACCUCAACUUGAACUUGAAGAGGAUAAAGUGCCUGAGUCUCAACACUUGAAUAAUGUAGAUUUGAUGGAUUUGGAUUUCAUGGGUCGCUUGGUAAUUUGAAGUAUUUUAUUCGUCUUGUAAGAAUUUGUAUUAGGCACUUAUACUUCAAUAUUUAUGAGACGUAGAAGGUUUUUUAUAGAUCCCUUAUUUAGCAGCCAGUCUCCCCUCUGAUGGGCAAUCUCCAAUUCCAGUAAUUCAGAUGGCUUCACAUCGCGUCUCUCACUGUCUCCGUCUUCAGAGACCAUAUCUCUUUCACAAUAACCUGCUUUGCGUCCAUUCUGACCGAGUGUUACCCGCUCGGCUGUGUAAAUGGAACCUGACACAGACUCAUAGCUCAUGGGAUGUGCUAAGCCGGAGAUAAAAACGAGUUCAUGGCGUGAUGCCUCUAUAGAUCAAAUGUGCGAACUGGAGAAUAAUUUGUGAAUACUCGAUCGGGUGGUUUUCUCUGCUCCUCUGGAUAAACAAAGAAUUUCGUUUGUCUUUUGUAAAAGUGUUUUAGACGAGAUGAACACGGUACACCCCGAAAAAAUGAAUGGUUGUCUUAAAUAUUGUUGCAUCAUCGAGUAAUUGGUUCAAAUUAUUUACUGAAGAUUUCAAUACAAUUGUUUCAAUGCGCAGUGUUAUUAUUUUAAAUUUAAAAAAGCAAUAACUCUUAUGCGAAUAAAAUUUAAAUAUUGCUUUGCUGAGUCUUGCCAAUGAGAAUGAAGCUAUAAUUAAUACUAAUAACUGUGAAGAGGAAAGCUUGCCUUAAUCACAUUUUGUUUAUUGUUGACCAGCAGGGUGACUACUCUAAAACACGUCAUAGUGUCAAUUGCAAAAGAGCCAGGCUAUUAUAGUCAUUUGGCUGAGUUUUUUAAGUGUGAUCAAUGAGAUGUAUCUCGAUUUCAAAAAUUUAUUUUUUAAUAAUUAUUUAUCAAUUUUGCACAGUUAUCUACAUUUUUUAUAUGAACCCGUGGUUUCAGAGAAAUGUUGUGAUUAAAAUAUUGCUGACUCUUUUUGUCACUAUGAAUUAAAUUCCAAUAAUAAAACGAAGAUAUUUAAAAAUAAAACUGCUUUUUUUACUUGAAUUUCCAAUAGGGCCAGAAUUUUUUUAAUACAAAUUAUGGAUCAUCAGAAAAUUUUAUUCACCAAAUUAUGCCAAUCAAUAUACAGUUUGGCCGCUUGUUGUCACUUAUUAAAUUGAAUUCAAAACUCUUUUUGAAAUUUCAGGAUUUAUACAUGAACAGUAAUUAUUAUUACAGUGAAUUUCAUAAAGCACAUGAAAAAGCACAAUUUGUGCAGCACAUUGGACUGAUAAUGUAGAACAUUCUGUACCACAACUACAGGAUAAUAAAUUUGAGGGCUGUCUGUUCUUGCUCUAAACUGUUUUUCGGAUUACCUAAAUUUAAUCGAACAACUGGUAAACCUCACUCAGAAAAAACCAGCAUAUCAAUUUAGCGCCUUUUCUUUACUGCCUAAAAAGCCGAGUUUAAAGGAGUGCUUGCAGUACAUCGACUCUUCAACUAACAUUAUGUAACUGGAGCUACACAAAUUUACUCUUACUACCAUUACAUUGGUUAUGUGUUUGAGUCGUUAGCUAAUUAUCUUUGUGAAAACUGCGCGUUGAGGAAGUAGGAAAAUAUUAUUCAUUUUUCGGCAAGCCUCAUUCUUUUGGUCUCAAUUCAGAAUUUUGAUCUCCAAAGUUAAAUAAAGGAUGUGUUGCUUUUGAAAGAGAUGAGUUUCAGAAUACAUUUUCCACUGGCGAAAUUACCAAAUCAAAUGCUACCCUGUGGUGCAGAAGUCCGUCUUAAAAAUAUUACAGACAAUUGUGUUUCAAGGUUAAUUUCCAGCCAAAUUUUUGUUGGACCUUUUCACGCGUUUGUCAAAGUUAGAUCAAUUUAAAAUUUGGCUGAGAAUCACCCACUUUUUGCAGUCUUAACCAGCUCUAAUUUUAACAGUAAGACAUUGAAAAUUCAAUGCUGAAGUGUACAACUUCUUUAAUUUUUCGCGUGCCAAGUUUGAAUUGUUAAAUUGCCAGCAACUGUAUAAUUUCGUUCUUGCAAUAAAUUAAAUGACAACAUGUCCGAUGAUUAACUUACACAUUCCUUGCGUUAACAUAUCAUGAGAUAAAUAAAUGAAACUUUGUCAAGUUUACUGAAGAUACAUAAAUAAAAAUUGCUAUUUCAUCAUUCCAUUCUUCUAAAAAAAUUAAAACAUAAAAAACACAA